rnacentral:rRNA from 1 species
ACGGAAGGCAGCAGUGAGGGAUAUUGCACAAUGGGCGAAAGCCUGAUGCAGCAACGCCGCGUGAGGGAUGACGGUUUUCGGAUUGUAAACUUCUUUGGCAGGGGACGAUAAUGACGGUACCCUGAGAACAAGCCACGGCUAACUACGUGCCAGCAGCCGCGGUAAUACGUAGGUGGCAAGCGUUGUCCGGAUUUACUGGGUGUAAAGGGCGAGUAGGCGGGAAUGCAAGUCAGAUGUGAAAUACCGGGGCUUAACCCCGGAGCUGCAUUUGAAACUGUAUUUCUUGAGUGAUGGAGAGGCAGGCGGAAUUCCCGGUGUAGCGGUGAAAUGCAUAGAGAUCGGGAGGAACACCAGUGGCGAAGGCGGCCUGCUGGACAUUAACUGACGCUGAGGCGCGAAAGUGUGGGGAGCAAACAGGAUUAGAUACCCUGGUA